rnacentral:sRNA from 1 species
CCGCUUGGAAAGUUAAAAGUCGUAACAAGGUUUCCGUAGGUGAACCUGCGGAAGGAUCAUUACAGAAUGAAAAGUGCUUAACUGCAUUUUUUCUUUACACAUGUGUUUUUCUUUUUUUGAAAACUUUGCUUUGGUAGGCCUUCUAUAUGGGGCCUGCCAGAGAUUAAACUCAACCAAAUUUUAUUUAAUGUCAACCGAUUAUUUAAUAGUCAAAACUUUCAACAACGGAUCUCUUGGUUCUCGCAUCGAUGAAGAACGCAGCGAAAUGCGAUAAGUAAUAUGAAUUGCAGAUAUUCGUGAAUCAUCGAAUCUUUGAACGCACAUUGCGCCCUUUGGUAUUCCAAAGGGCAUGCCUGUUUGAGCGUCAUUUCUCCCUCAAACCCUCGGGUUUGGUGUUGAGCGAUACGCUGGGUUUGCUUGAAAGAAAGGCGGAGUAUAAACUAAUGGAUAGGUUUUUUCCACUCAUUGGUACAAACUCCAAAACUUCUUCCAAAUUCGACCUCAAAUCAGGUAGGACUACCCGCUGAACUUAAGCAUAUCAAUAAGCGGGGGG